rnacentral:rRNA from 1 species
GACGAACGCUGGCGGCGUGCUUAACACAUGCAAGUCGAACGGAAAGGCCCUGCUUGUGUGGGGUGCUCGAGUGGCGAACGGGUGAGUAACACGUGAGUAACCUCCCCUUGACUUUGGGAUAACUUCAGGACACUGGGGCUAAUACGGGAUAGGAGCUCUUGAUGCAUGGGGGGGGUUGGAAAGUUUCGUCGGGUGGGGAUGGACUCGCGGCUUAUCUGCUGGUUGGGGGGGGAGGGCCUUACCAAGGCUUUGGUGGGUAGCCGGCCGGGGAGGGUGACCGGCAACAUUGGAACUGAGAUAGGGCCCGACCUCCUACGGGGGGAAGCAGUGGGGAAAAUUGCACAAUGGGCGGAAGCCUGAUGCACGAACGCGGCGUGGGGGAUACCGGCCUUCGGGUUGUAACCCGCUUCCGCAUGGGACGAAGCGUGAGUGACGGUAACGGGAAAAGAAGCACCGGCUAACUACGUG